GAUGAACGCUAGCUACAGGCUUAACACAUGCAAGUCGAGGGGAAACGAUGAGAGAGCUUGCUCUCUUAGUCGUCGACCGGCGCACGGGUGAGUAACGCGUAUCCAACCUGCCUCUGACCAAGGGAUAACCCGUCGAAAGUCGGACUAAUACCUUAUGCAGUCGUCGGAAGUCAUCUGAUGACGACGAAAGAUUUCAUCGGUGAGAGAUGGGGAUGCGUCUGAUUAGCUUGUUGGCGGGGUAACGGCCCACCAAGGCGACGAUCAGUAGGGGUUCUGAGAGGAGGGUCCCCCACAUUGGAACUGAGACACGGUCCAAACUCCUACGGGAGGCAGCAGUGAGGAAUAUUGGUCAAUGGGCGUAAGCCUGAACCAGCCAAGUAGCGUGCAGGAUGACGGCCCUAUGGGUUGUAAACUGCUUUUAUGCGGGGAUAAAGUGAGGGACGUGUCCUUCAUUGCAGGUACCGCAUGAAUAAGGACCGGCUAAUUCCGUG
rnacentral:rRNA from 1 species